AGCUGUUGCUGCUGCUGCUGUUGCAGUUGCAUUUGCCGCUGUACCUGCUGCUGAUGCUGCCGCUGCUGCUGCU
rnacentral:sRNA from 1 species